rnacentral:rRNA from 1 species
ACUCCUACGGGAGGCAGCAGUGGGAAUAUUGGACAAUGGGGAACCCGUAGCAUCAGCCAUGCCGCGUGUGUGAAGAAGGCCUUCGGGUUGUAAAGCACUUUCAGUGGGGAGGAAAGGUUGAUGGUUAAUACCUAUCAGCUGUGACGUUACCCACAGAAGAAGCACCGGCUAACUCCGUGCCAGCAGCCGCGGUAAUACGGAGGGUGCAAGCGUUAAUCGGAAUUACUGGGCGUAAAGCGUGCGCAGGCGGUCUGUUAAGCGAGAUGUGAAAG